GACGAACGCUGGCGGCGUGCUUAACACAUGCAAGUCGAACGGAAAGGCCCUGCUUUUGUGGGGUGCUCGAGUGGCGAACGGGUGAGUAACACGUGAGUAACCUGCCCUUGACUUUGGGAUAACUUCAGGAAACUGGGGCUAAUACCGGAUAGGAGCUCCUGCUGCAUGGUGGGGGUUGGAAAGUUUCGGCGGUUGGGGAUGGACUCGCGGCUUAUCAGCUUGUUGGUGGGGUAGUGGCUUACCAAGGCUUUGACGGGUAGCCGGCCUGAGAGGGUGACCGGCCACAUUGGGACUGAGGUACGGCCCAGGCUCCUACGGGAGGCAGCAGUGGGGAAUAUUACACAAUGGUCGGAAGCCUGAUGCAACAACGCCGCGUGCGGGAUGACGGCCUUCGGGUUGUGAACCGCUUUCGCCUGUGACGAGGCGUGAGUGACGGUAAUGGGUAAAGAAGCACCGGCUAACUACGUG
rnacentral:rRNA from 1 species